rnacentral:tRNA from 1 species
GCCUCAGUAGCUCAAUGGUAGAGCAGUGGCCUCUUAAGCCAUUGGUUAAAGGUUCGAGUCCUUUCUGGGGUA